GACGUAGGGCGCGAGCGUUGUCCGGAUUUAUUGGGCGUAAAGAGCUCGUUAGGCGGCUUGUCGCGUCGAAUGUGAAAACUCGGGGCUCAACUCCGAGCUUGCAUUCGAUACGGGCAGGCUAGAGUUCGGUAGGGGAGACUGGAAUUCCUGGUGUAGCGGUGAAAUGCGCAGAUAUCAGGAGGAACACCGGUGGCGAAGGCGGGUCUCUGGGCCGAUACUGACGCUGAGGAGCGAAAGCGUGGGGAGCGAACAGG
rnacentral:rRNA from 1 species